CCGACCUUAGCUCAGUUGGUAGAGCGGAGGACUGUAGUAGGCCAAUGGCUCAUAGAAAUCCUUAGGUCGCUGGUUCGAAUCCGGCAGGUCGGA
rnacentral:tRNA from 2 species